rnacentral:rRNA from 1 species
GAUCGGGGAUGGGCUCGCGGCCUAUCAGCUUGUUGGUGGGGUAAUGGCCUACCAAGGCGACGACGGGUAGCCGGCCUGAGAGGGCGACCGGCCACACUGGGACUGAGACACGGCCCAGACUCCUACGGGAGGCAGCAGUGGGGAAUAUUGCACAAUGGGGGAAACCCUGAUGCAGCGACGCAGCGUGCGGGAUGACGGCCUUCGGGUUGUAAACCGCUUUCAGCAGGGAAGAAGCGAAAGUGACGGUACCUGCAGAAGAAGUACCGGCUAACUACGUGCCAGCAGCCGCGGUAAUACGUAGGGUACGAGCGUUGUCCGGAAUUAUUGGGCGUAAAGAGCUCGUAGGUGGUUGGUCACGUCUGCUGUGGAAACGCAACGCUUAACGUUGCGCGGGCAGUGGGUACGGGCUGACUAGAGUGCAGUAGGGGAGUCUGGAAUUCCUGGUGUAGCGGUGAAAUGCGCAGAUAUCAGGAGGAACACCGGUGGCGAAGGCGGGACUCUGGGCUGUAACUGACACUGAGGAGCGAAAGCAUGGGGAGCGAACAGGAUUAGAUACCCUGGUAGUCCAUGCCGUAAACGUUGGGCACUAGGUGUGGGGGACAUUCCACGUUCUCCGCGCCGUAGCUAACGC